UUGGUUAAGUCCUCGACCGAUUAGUACUGGUCCGCUCCAUGCAUCGCUGCACUUCCACUUCCAGCCUAUCUACCUGAUCAUCUCUCAGGGGUCUUACUUCCAUAUAGGAAUGGGAAAUCUCAUCUCGAGGGGGGCUUCACACUUAGAUGCUUUCAGCGUUUAUCCCUGCCGUUCAUAGCUACCCAGCGAUGCGCCUGGCGGCACAACUGGUACACCAGCGGAACGUCCAUCCCGGUCCUCUCGUACUAAGGACAGCUCCUCUCAAAUUUCCUGCGCCCGCGACGGAUAGGGACCGAACUGUCUCACGACGUUCUGAACCCAGCUCGCGUACCGCUUUAAUGGGCGAACAGCCCAACCCUUGGGACCGACUACAGCCCCAGGAUGCGAUGAGCCGACAUCGAGGUGCCAAACCUCCCCGUCGAUGUGGACUCUUGGGGGAGAUAAGCCUGUUAUCCCCAGGGUAGCUUUUAUCCGUUGAGCGAUGGCCCUUCCAUACGGAACCACCGGAUCACUAAGCCCGACUUUCGUCCCUGCUCGACUUGUCAGUCUCGCAGUCAAGCUCCCUUAUACCUUUACACUCUGCGAAUGAUUUCCAACCAUUCUGAGGGAACCUUUGGGCGCCUCCGUUACAUUUUAGGAGGCGACCGCCCCAGUCAAACUGCCUACCUGACACUGUCUCCCGCCACGAUUAGUGGCGCGGGUUAGAGUGUUCAUACAGCUAGGGUAGUAUCCCACCAACGCCUCCAUCGAAACUAGCGUUCCGAUCUCUACGGCUCCUACCUAUCCUGUACAAGCGGUACAAACACUCAAUAUCAAGCUACAGUAAAGCUCCAUGGGGUCUUUCCGUCCUGUCGCGGGUAACCCGCAUCUUCACGGGUACUAUAAUUUCACCGAGUCUCUCGUUGAGACAGUGCCCAAAUCAUUACGCCUUUCGUGCGGGUCGGAACUUACCCGACAAGGAAUUUCGCUACCUUAGGACCGUUAUAGUUACGGCCGCCGUUUACUGGGGCUUCAAUUCUGGGCUUCGCUUGCGCUAACUCAUCCUCUUAACCUUCCAGCACCGGGCAGGCGUCAGCCCCUAUACAUCAUCUUACGAUUUAGCAGAGACCUGUGUUUUUGAUAAACAGUUGUUUGGGCCUAUUCACUGCGGCUGACCUUGCGGUCAGCACCCCUUCUUCCGAAGUUACGGGGUCAUUUUGCCGAGUUCCUUAACGAGAGUUCGCUCGCUCACCUGAGGAUACUCUCCUCGACUACCUGUGUCGGUUUGCGGUACGGGUAGUUUAUUUCUCACUAGAAGCUUUUCUUGGCAGUGUGACAUCAGGAACUUCGCUACUAUAAUUUCGCUCCCCAUCACAGCUUGUCCUUAAGACUGCAAGCAUUUCACUCGCUGUCAGACUUGCUGCUUGGGCGCACAUUUCCAGCCGUGCGCUUUCCUUAGCCUCCUGCGUCCCUCCAUCGCUUAAACAAAAUAAACUAGUGCAGGAAUCUCAACCUGCUUGUCAUCGACUACGCCUCUCGGCCUCGCCUUAGAUCCCGACUAACCCUGGGAGGACGAGCCUUCCCCAGGAAACCUUAGUCAUACGGUGGAUCAGAUUCUCACUGAUCUUUCGCUACUCAUGCCGGCAUUCUCACUUCUAAGCGCUCCAGCCGUCCUCACGAUCGACCUUCAACGCCCUUAGAACGCUCUCCUACCGCGCACCCUUAUGGGUGCACCCACAGUUUCGGUAUUAUGCUUAGCCCCGGUAUAUUUUCGGCGCAGUGCCACUCGACUAGUGAGCUAUUACGCACUCUUUAAAUGGUGGCUGCUUCUGAGCCAACAUCCUAGUUGUCUGUGCAACGCCACAUCCUUUUCCACUUAGCAUAAAUUUAGGGACCUUAACUGGUGAUCUGGGCUGUUCCCCUUUCGACAAUGGACCUUAUCGCUCACUGUCUGACUCCCGGAGUAAGAUCGAUGGUAUUCGGAGUUUAUCUGAAUUCAGUAACCCUUGAUGGGCCCCUAGUUCAAACAGUGCUCUACCUCCAUGAUCCAUCCUCCGAGGCUAACCCUAAAGCUAUUUCGGAGAGAACCAGCUAUCUCCAAGUUCGUUUGGAAUUUCACCGCUACCCACAACUCAUCCCAGCAUUUUUCAACAUACAUGGGUUCGGUCCUCCAGUGUGUUUCACCACACCUUCAACCUGGUCAUGGGUAGGUCACUUGGUUUCGGGUCUACAUCUGCUUACUCAUUCGCCCUGUUCAGACUCGCUUUCGCUACGGCUCCGACUUUUCAUCUUAACCUCGCAAGCAAACGUAACUCGCCGGUUCAUUCUACAAAAGGCACGCCAUUACCCAUUAACGGGCUUUGACUAAUUGUAGGCACACGGUUUCAGGAACUGUUUCACUCCCCUUCCGGGGUGCUUUUCACCUUUCCCUCACGGUACUGGUUCACUAUCGGUCACUAGGGAGUAUUUAGCCUUGGGAGAUGGUCCUCCCGGAUUCCGACGGAAUUUCACGUGUUCCGCCGUACUCAGGAUCCUG
rnacentral:rRNA from 1 species